UCAGUUUAUGAAGCAGGGAUUUAUAAAGUGAAGUUGGACCGGAGCUCUGCAGAGUCUACCUCAAGGAGCAGAUCCAUCUUAUCUCUGACAUAUCUGGAUGGGUGGUUGAGUCGAAGCCCGACUUGGUGUCCAGGCCCUCAGGCUGCCCUACUCCAGUCAGGAGCACCUGUCUGUCAGUCCAUGUUGACUUCAGGAAGGAAGAGGAGGGGUCACAGAGACAGACAGAUCAAGGGUCAUUCUUCAGUGCACAGUGGUGGUGAGGUAAGGGUGUAAGUUCUCAGCUGUUGCUCCUGCCUACCCACUGCCACUCUUCCUGCCAUGUUAGUCUUGGAUUCUGUAUGAGUCAAAUGAACUCUUCCCUCUACCAUGGCCUUGGCCAUGGUGUCUCAUCACAGCAACAGAAAAGUCACUAAGACCCCUGGGAAUCUGGGGACAGGAACACUAAGGUAUCUCCCUCAAAAAGGUGAGUCUUUGGGGUUUGGGUGGUGGAAUAUAUCUAUCUGCUUUCCUGUGCUUGGCCCUAAGUUGGAUGUAAGAGCAAAACUCAGAAGAACUGUUGGCAAUGGAGCAGAUCCUGCUGCUCUAGGGGGUGGUGGCUGUUGGGACUGGGAUUGGCUGCCCUGGAUGCUAUAAGAGAAAAUAGUUUUAGCCUUGUUUGUUUCAGGGCAGCCUGCUGGGAUGGGUGCUGAACUCAGCAAUGAUUUUCUGGGGGAGUCUAAUACAGACUACAGGUUAUUUUAAAAGAUCCACAGCAUUUGUAGACCCUGGGGACCAGGAGCCUCCUCAGCUCUCAAGAACUGGUAAGGAAAAUGGAAGCCUGGAGACUCUGCCAGGGAGUCUGAGGGGAGAGGGGAAGAUGGGUGUCCGAGUCCAGUCUUGUAAUUAUCUCUGUUGUUCACGCCAUCCUUCUCUGGGUGAAGGGAAAAUCAAGGGUCCAAAUAGGACGGGGAAGCCCAUUGAAAAGGGGGCAGGAGCCAGAUGCUUCUGAGUGAAUUCAAAUGGACACUGAACUCCCAGCAGGAAAGUAAUAAAAAGGUUAUGUGAACAGAAGGUUUGAGAAAAAGCAGCCAGCCUGCCUCGGAGAUUCAACAGGGAGCGCUGAGUAGAGAGAACUCUGCGGCUGUGGGACUGAGGAAAUAGCUCAGAGGAGAAAAUGAGUCCGCUAGACUCUGGGUCCCUGGAAACCAAGCAAGCCCAGCACACGUCUUGCAAAAUGAGAGACAGACACAGGGACAAUGCCCCCAUCCAGAUGAGGGCCAGCUUGUCCGGCUCACACAGUAGGUCAGGUCCUGAGAUCCAGCACCCCAACCCCCUCCGCUUCCUUCCUUCAGGAGAGAAAGAUGUUUUCACCACAUAUGUAGCUAGCAGGCAUGUUUGACGAUAAGAACUAAAGCCUUAGGACCCACACCCAAUCAGGUUCCUCCCAGCAACAAGAACAAGCUCUUCUUCUGGGAAGAGAAUCCCAUCCUGGAGUCUGAGAGCAUGUGGUCCAGCCCUCUACACAGUGGCUCUUCACUCGGGGACUGGCCUUGUGUAGGUCCUGGUCCUCUAUGUGCGAUGAUGAUGUGUUGUUAGAUUUACUUUUACUGUAGUUGAUUGAUGAGGAAUGCACACGGCAGGUUCACGUAAUGGAACACUUAGUCUUCAAUUGGUGGUGUGUGGUUGCAGCCUUUGAUUUGCCCCUGCACUGUCUGGGGAACCCUAGAUUCCCUCCCCUCCAAUCACAGCCUGCUUAGAGUCUCCAAAGAACAGGGGCCGAAAAGUUAAGUUCCGCAUUCCUGGUGGCUAGUGCAGUUUCCUCCUCCCACACUGCUGGCCGCCCACGUCCCCUUCUAAGCCCUCAGCUUUUGGUCACACUUGCUCACAACCCCAACAUGUGCCAGACACAUCAUCAUCCCUUACUUACAAUCUAUAACCCCCCCAGACCUCAUCCCAGGCUUGUGACUUCUCUGGCCUCGUUCUCAGCGACCAGCGAACCUGCCUGGGAGUUGCUUUGCUCUCAAUAAACCUGCUGUUGUACUUUUCCA